GCUAUAGCUCAAUGGCAAGGCAUCUGCUUUGCAUGCAGAAGGUUCCAGGUUCGAUCCCUGCUGUCUCCU